CAGGGAUCUAGCAUCCCACUUUUUUUUUUUUUUUUUUUUUUUUUUUGAGACUGAGUCUUGCUGUGUCUCCAGGAUGGAGUGCAGUGUCUGGAUCUUGGCUCACUGCCAUCUCCACCUCCCAUGUUCAAGAAAUUCUCCCUCCUCAGCCUCCCAAGUAGCUGGUGUGGGAUAUGAUAAGGUUUCUCUUCAAAUAACUUGAUCAAUCUUUUAUUCUUUAACUCAUAGUACCCCUAGUACCUCCCCUCUUUUUUUUUCCUUUUUCUCCUUUUUUCCUUUUUGCCUUUGUUAGAUGCCCAGGCACACCACAGUACCAGGCGUUAUCAGUACCAGCUUACAUUCCUUUCCUUAUUUGGAAAGAGGACUAACUUUCUAGCUCAUUACAGACACCCCUUCCCCUUUCGUUUCUGCUUUCUUUUAUGUGCCCCCUUUAUAAAAAAAAAAAAAAUCAAAUAUGUAGCCAACCAGGGUUAGUUUAGAUUGUAUGAACAGACCCCAGCCAAUCGGGAAAGGGUACAGAGGCAGGACUUGCAUCAGGAAUAAAGGCUCUCUUGUGCCCCUUUGUUCAGGUGUGCUCUCAAGGCGACUGGCCAAGGAGGCACACCCCUCUGCACAGAAGUAAAAUUGCUUUGCUAAGAAUCGUUUUUUCAAGUGUUCCAUUUCCUUAGGAUUUUGACUGUUAUUCCUAACACUUCUGGCACCCAACUUUGGGGCUCCAAUAUUCUCCUUAGGUACGGGGGCCUUCGGUUACCCUUCCCAAGGGAGACGCAUCCUACUGUCUCGUUAGGGUGGCCCUAGGGUGAAGGAGAUCAGGCCCACCUGUGGUAAUGAAUAAAUCUGGAUUCGCAGCAAAGCGGGGAGGAGAGGCUUGCAAUACCGUGGCAAUAAGAGGACCAGUUCUCCUUUAACCUUUAGACUCUGGAGGGAGAAAGUCAGAAGCCAACUCUUUUAAAAGGGAAACAGUUCCCAUAGCUAGACAACCCACAACUACUAACUAACAUGUGGGAUCCUUUAAAUCAUCUUCCUUCAUUCAGCGCCCCCUAACCCGCCAG
rnacentral:lncRNA from 1 species